AGCUCCAAUAGCGUAUAUUAAAGUUGUUGCAGUUAAAAAGCUCGUAGUUGGAUUUCUGGGAGAAUGCCAAUGUCCGCUUACGCGUGUGCAGCGGCGUCCUCCCAUCCUUCUGUUAACGCCUCUUGGCAUUCAUUUGCUGGUGGCGGGCUCAGAUAUUUUACCUUGAGAAAAUUAGAGUGUUUCAGGCAGGCUAGGCCGGAAUACAUUAGCAUGGAAUAAUGGAAUAGGACUACGGUCUCUUUGUUGGUUUGAGGGACUGCAGUAAUGAUUAAUAGGGAUAGUUGGGGGCAUUAGUAUUUAAUUGUCAGAGGUGGAAUUCUCGGAUUUGUUAAAGACUAACUUAUGCGAAAGCAUUUGCCAAGGAUGUUUUCAUUA
rnacentral:rRNA from 1 species